CGAAAAUGUACCGGGGCUCAAGCCGUACACCGAAGCUGAGGAUGCACUUUUGUGCGUGGUAGCGGAGCGUUCCGUAAGCCAGUGAAGGAAGACCCGUGAGGGCUUCUGGAGGUAUCGGAAGCGAGAAUGCUGACAUGAGUAACGAUAAAGCGGGUGAGAGACCCGCUCGCCGAAAAUCCAAGGGUUCCUGCGUAAAGCUAAUCUGCGCAGGGUUAGCCGGCCCCUAAGACGA
rnacentral:rRNA from 1 species